rnacentral:rRNA from 1 species
AGAAUCAACGCUGGCGGCGUGCCUAACACAUGCAAGUCGAACGAGAAAGUGGAGCAAUCCAUGAGUAAAGUGGCGACCGGGUGAGUAACACGUGACUAACCUACCUUCGAGUGGGGGAUAACCUCGGGAAACCGAGGCUAAUACCGCAUAACAUCGCAAGAUCAAAGCAGCAAUGCGCUGGAAGAGGGGGUCGCGGCUGAUUAGCUAGUUGGCGGGUAACGCCCACAAGGCGAAGAUCGGUAGCCGGCCUGAGAGGGCGCACGGCCACACUGGAACUGAAACACGGUCCAGACUCCUACGGGAGGCAGCAGUGGGGAAUUUUGCGCAAUGGGGGAAACCCUGACGCAGCAACGCCGCGUGGAGGAUGAAGCCCCUUGGGGCGUAAACUCCUUUCGACCAAGACGAUAAUGACGGUACUGGUGGAAGAAGCACCGGCUAACUCUGCGCCAGCAGCCGC